AACGGAGGGGGGUAGCGUUGUUCGGAAUUACUGGGCGUAAAGGGCGCGCAGGCGGCUGCUCAAGUCAGGCGUGUAAGGCCUGGGCUCAACCCGGGAAUUGCGCUUGAGACUGGGCUGGCUUGAGUGCGGGAGAGGAUGGUGGAGUUCCCAGUGUAGAGGUGAAAUUCGUAGAUAUUGGGAAGAACACCGGUGGCGAAGGCGGCCAUCUGGGCCGCAACUGACGCUGAGGCGCUAAAGCGUGGGGAGCAAACAUG
rnacentral:rRNA from 1 species